UUUAUUUAAAAAUGCAUUCGUUUUAUUUCAACGCUUUUAUAAGUGGGCAAAAAAACGUCCCGUGCGAAUGAGUCUUUAUUCUGUUCGACUUAAUCGACGGGUGAAAUGUUAAUGAAAUUAUUUACUUACGUAUAAUGUACUGAAAUUUUACAACUCUGGUGUGACCCCGGCUGACCAAAUUCGUGAAAGAUGACGCCCACAUAUUUUGGGGAAACUCUUUUUACGAGCCGUCUCACCGGCCCUGGUGGGGCCGGAGAGGAUGUGUGAGACUCGGCCUGGGCAGGUCCCUACUCACUAAAACCACUGCGAAAGCCAUCGGCCGCUAUGUUGGUGCACCCCGGAUCUGUCAGCGACAGGGCAAAACAUACAGAUCUGUUCAAUAUUCUGACUAAUCUAAAACAAUCUCAAUUGUAUUUUCAUAUUCUUUAAUAUUAUUUAGA